rnacentral:tRNA from 1 species
GGGCCUGUAGAUCAGUGGAAGAUAUGGAAUAUUUUCUUGGGUCAUAUCCAAAAUCGCUUGACUUGCAUUCAAGAGGUCACGGGUUCAAUUCCCGUCAGGUCCA